UCGGUUUUGAGUUGUUUUUAUUGGGGCUUCUGUUGAAAACUGCUAGCUGCGUUUCCACCGCCCUUCUUCUCCACCUCACCCGGCAAAUUUGAUGCCUCCGACCGGCCGGGGACGAAGCUUCUUUCUGCACCAUCGCUGCUAUCGCGUCCUUCAUCCGACGAGCACCGUCACCCACCUUUUUUUGACUCUGCCGCUGCUUCCAUCCAUCAAUGCGCCGCCGCCCCUACCUCUUCUGGUGAGACGCCGAUCUGCUAGCUCCUCUAGGUGAGCAGCUCGACCUUGUCAAAUCCGACGACCACCAUCGCCCUCCUUCCUUCGACGCGCCGCCGCUUCCAUCUUCGAAUGCGCCGCCGCCUACCCCUUCUGGCGAGACGCCGAUCUGUCGCUCCAAGGUGUUUUCCGUGUUGCACAAUAGACUCAACGAUGCUACAGUGGAGGCGGCCUCCGCACGGCACACAAUUACCAUAACCCAUCCUGAAGAAAGCCAUGUUGCCGCCCAAGAAUACUUGUUGUUACUCGCUUCCGAUUGAAUCAUCAUUCUUGAUAUGGAAAUAAAAUCUCUGGCAUGCAAUUUGGUGAUAGGAUGUUUUCAUCCAUUCCCUGGUAAAUAAGACCAACACAAAUCUAGAAAUAUAUACCCUGGGGAGAAAAUAAAACCAGGACCUUUACAAACAUUAUUUGUACAAAUUUAUGGUGACAUUAUUCAAGCCAUAUGUCAUGAGAAUAUAUUUUUAAAAAAAACUGAGCAUAUAGAGAGAGACAUGCAAAUGCAUCUAUUAAUCUAGCCUGUCUAAUUGUGAGAAUGAUUUAAAAUCCUAUUGAGACUUUGUUCGAGAUAAGCAGGAUGAUGUGAAGCUGAAAACUAUGGAUCAUUUAGUUCAGAAACCUGUAUUUCAGUGUUUCUGUUUGUAGGUAAGUGGUUAGCAUAUCUUUUUCCCCUGAUGCUACUACAUUGUAAGGAAAUCAGGAAUGUUAUUUGGCAACGUUGAUCGCCAGACUUAUGACGAAAAGUAGAGACAGUUGCACAAUGUGUACAGGAACCAAAUUUGGUUACAAAAAUGAUUUAAGAUGCGCUUUGCCUUAUCUAGCAAAAUGAAACAAGGAGAAUUUAUUCUGAAAGUGGAACAUUGGUGGCAUGGACAAUGGGGAGGACAUGGCGCCCGGGUAGGGGAACUAUCAUUGUCUAUUUCCCCUUAUGUCUUUGAUAUUAUUGUCGCUAGCCACUGCUAUGUUUUGCUUGCACGUGUGAACUUAUCACUGCAUAUGCACAUAUGUGAAGAGUCACAAGCCACUGCUACUUAGUACUUACAAAUUUUGACACAUUUUUUCAAUUGCACCUCUUCAUGAGGUCUUCAAAAUAUUGCUUAACUUUGAGUGGUGAUUCCUUCACGAGGUUUUAUAUGAACGUAGGUUUAUGAUAGCAAGUUUGGCUGGCGGUAGGAUUGUCGGUGGCCUGUUAUUGAUGAGUUGGUGUUUUUUGUGUGUAAAUGUGGUGGGGACUACAAGAUCGUUGUGUGUUUGGUGGUGAUCUAAGCAUUUCGAGUGUCGGGCAUGUGGAUUUUUGUACAGCGGUGGGAUUCCAAGUACUUGGUUGCGGCGAGGGAGGUGCGAUUUUGAUGUAGCUAGAACCAUUUUGUAUGUAGCUUCUCGGUGUUUUCGUUGGCAUCAGUGGGAUCAAAUUGUGUAUAACAUGCCUGAGCUUCUUCAACUCUUUGGUGAUUCUGUCGGAUAAUACACUAUUAGAUCCUUACAACUAUUUGUGUUGGAUGUAUCAUGUAUAGUUUCAUCAACCGAAAGUAAACAAUGUAUUUGGAUUGCUACAGCCUAUAGCUAGAUCAAGUAAUGUAUUUUGGAUUCCUACGGGUAGAGCGAAAAAGGUGAGGAAUCUCUCUGCAAAGAGGACAUGCAAUGUUGGUCAACAAACAUUGAUCUGGAGGCAGUAUAUGUCAUAGUAGUUGAUAUGGACCCUAGCCAAAGCUUUUCUUAAUCAUAGUUUCCCACUGUUCUUGAUUAGGAAAAUCAGUUUUAUUUUCAUACUGUCAGCAGACGUACAUGCUGAUUAACCAUUCAGCUUUGGCUUGUUGGUGAAUGCCAUGAAGAUAUAAUCCAUCAGUACAUGUCGGUGAAAUGUCUCCUGGUUUGCAUAGAUGAAUUUCUGGUACCCCUGCGAUGCAUGUGUGCAUUUCUCUCAUGUCUCAUGAGCUCAGUAACAGUCUGGUUAAAUCACACAUGGAUAAGAUGUAUGUGUAGCUGUUGUAUUUUCUUCUAAAGUGCCAUGAUAGGAUUUUUCAGAAUUCAGCUUUCUAGGACAUGUAGCUUUUGUUUCACAAUGGGAGGCUCAUGGAUCAUAAUAUGUGAAAGCUUCUCAUGCUUGGAACUUUUCUACUAUUAUUACUCCCUUAUUCAUCAAAUUAUUCAGAAUGAUGUGUAUCUUGCAUGAUUCGAAUUUGUUGUGUUUGUAAGCAGGCAAUAUGUAAGUUAUAUAAAUAUAUAUUAUUAUGUUCACUUUAAGUCCGGUAAGUCCAACUAAUACUAAAAAUGCACAAAAUACUCCUAUUUUUCUUUACAUUAAUAAAUAUUGGAAAACUAGACAGUUAUCUUGAAAAUUUUAUCUCAGCAUUUUCCUUUGCUGAAUUUAUUAAAGCUGUUUAUUUGGUUUGGUUGUGCAGCUAUGAUCAUUCAGGAUAUGGGACCUCAACAGCAAUAUAAAUUUUCGAAUUCCUGGGUAGUAUUACAAAACUCAAACGUGAUACUCUUGUUUCUUGAAUUUGCACUUAAGUUGCCUGUUGGUAUAUAUUGUCCCUCACAUUCUCACAUAAAACUCUUAGUCGAUCGUGAUGUCUCAUGUUCAUUUCUAUGCAACUAGAUUAGAUAGCCGAGAACAAUUAGCAAGUCGGCUUGUUCAUAUAUGUUGUACAUAGUUGUGUGACUUGUUGACACUUACCCAGGAGACAGUUAGAGUUAGACAGAAUAAGUAUUACAUUACAAAUGUUCAUUUCUAUGCAAUUGGAUUAGAUAGACCAUGACAUUUUUCUCUGCGUGGUACUGGUAUACUGGCUAUCUAAGCUCCUAUUAAAUCUUGUUUCUACAUAGCCCUUGAACAAGAUUAUCAGCUGCAAAGGAGAAUGCGUAGAGCAAGAGGAUGUAGUCCCGUAUGACAGUUAGUUGGAAGCGGACCGAUAUUGGACUUGGCCUCACGUUUAGAAAAAAUAAAAGUGUUCAUCCUUCACAGUGGUAUUCUAUUAGGCAUACAAUUUCUGUAUUCACUGAAAGGACACUUCAGUUAGAUAUAUCUUCAGAUGUCAGCCUGGCUCAUGCUGAUAGUUUUGUUCGAAACAUAUGUUCUUGACGGAUACUUGGUUAUAAAUAUUCGAAUAUAUGAAUUUGGGGAUCUUGGCUUUGUCUCGGGCAACCAUGCUCCGACGCAGCCAGCCGGCCCCCCAAAAAAUAAUCGACGCUGCAAGUAUGCCUGAAAAAAUCUGGGUCCAGUGACAGCCAGAAGAGGCGUGUGCGCGUAGCGAUGGAAGAAACACUGUUCCAGACAGUUAAAGAAGUCACCGGCCAAGAUUCAAUGGAGGGAGACGAUCCGACGGCCGCGGUAACAAAAUCACUGAGAAGGCUCUAUGGGUUACAUCUAAAGUUAAAUACCAUAUGGGAGCAUAUAACAAUAAAAAAUAGCGGUACCUAUUACCUGAAUACUGAGAAUUGAUGUCACCUUUGCAGCAAUUGAAGUGAACAUGGGUUCUUGAAGCAUACUUUUGAGGCUAUUGUCAUUUUCUACAAAGUUCUUACAAAUAGUCCAACAUAGCACAUUGCACUAGAAACUCAAAGCCUGCCAAUUGAGCUCUGGAGUUCAGGACGUCACAACGCUUGACAUCAAUUUGAGCGGAUGUAAUUUUGCUUUGUAUGUUGGUUUAUCUUUGGCUAUUCUUUAUCUUUCAGAUAAUGGAGGGUUAUUGGUAAAUAAUAUAUAAGUAUUAGUUUUUUUCAUGUAACAAUAUUUUUUAAAUUGGAGAAGUUGUAAAGGUACUCAUACAUAUCUUUUUCUUGGCGCUUACCAUAUGUGGUUGAUGAU